CGGAAGGAGGCGUGGGCAUGGAGGCGGCUGGGGACGCCGAGCCCCGGGCUGACGCUGCUGCCUAGGGCCCCCUGUGGGCUCUGUGGGGGCACGGCCCGGUGCUGCGCGGAUGGCCCUGCCCCCGCGGCACGCGCUCGCCUUCGUUGUCCUCCUCUUCGUGCCUGCCGCUCACAGGUGCCAGGAGCAGGCCCAGACUACCGACUGGCGGGCCACGCUGAAAACCAUCCGGAACGGCGUUCACAAGAUAGACACGUACCUGAACGCCGCCUUGGAACUCCUUGGAGGCGAGGAUGGGCUCUGCCAGUACAAGUGCAAUGACGGAUCUAAGCCUUUCCCACGUUACGGUUAUAAACCCUCCCCGCCGAAUGGAUGUGGCUCUCCACUGUUUGGUGUUCACCUUAAUAUUGGCAUCCCUUCCCUGACAAAGUGCUGUAACCAACACGACAGGUGCUAUGAGACCUGCGGCAAGAGCAAGAACGACUGCGAUGAGGAAUUCCAGUAUUGCCUCUCUAAGAUCUGCCGGGAUGUGCAGAAGACACUAGGACUGGCUCAGCACGUUCAGGCCUGUGAAACCACAGUGGAGCUCUUGUUUGACAGUGUUAUACAUUUAGGCUGUAAACCGUAUCUGGACAGCCAACGAGCCGCGUGUAGGUGUCGCUACGAAGAGAAAAGUGAUCUUUAAAGAAGAUGCUGACAGUUGGUGACAGCAGAUAAGGACAGAAGAACAUAGCCUUUGACAAAGACCUACUGUUUUUAUAUCAUAAAGCUGCCUUAUUUUUGUGAAAGGAUUAUUUUAAGACUUUAUUUUAGCAUUAAAAGUACAAACUAAAGAAAAAUGUGGGGGAGGUGAUCUUCCUGGAUGUUGCUGCCUUAUUGUACCGAAUUGUCUUGACCAGUCUCAGAAAGAGGUGCAUGUUAAGGGGAGAAUAUUUUAAAAGGAGUCUGUAUCUCAGUAUUCACAACUGUAUUUACCAAAACAAUGAGGUCAAAUAUAAAAUUGAUUACAAGGAUCCAGUCUAGGAUACCACAUUGCACUUAGUCAUCAUGUCUGAUAAGCCUCUGGUCUGCGAUGGUUCCACAGGCUUGUUUUUCAAUAUCUUAACAGUUUUGAGGAGUACUGAUCAGGUAUAUUGUAGAAUGCCCCUCAAUUUGGGCUUGAAUGAUGUUUCCCUCAUAACUGUACUGGGGUUAUGGAUAUUUAAGGAAAAAACCCAUAAAGCGUUUUUCUCAUCAAAUCAUAUCAAUAGUUGAAUGUUAUUAACUUGGUGUGUCAACUGUGAAAACUUGCUUAAGGUAGUGUCUGUCAGAUUUCUCCACUGUGAAGUUACUCUUUUUCCCUUUCCAUACUUCUGUUCUUUGGAAGCCAGGCCUCAAGUCAGUCUGUGGGAGGUGGAGGGUGGCAAGAUUCUGUUCUACUUGCUGGAAGGGGAAUAUCUUUAUAUAGUACUUGGGAUUUUUCUGUAAAAAGGAUUGGUCUUCUCACCCCUCCCAUUUAUUCAGUUACUUAUAUCAGUGUGGACUCAUGUAUAUUUCUUUAGACUUUGGGUAAUGUUUAUUUUAUUGCUUAAAUUAUUUCAGCUCGGCUAAUGGGAUUUAUGUCAGGUUGGCUCCUGUUUGUCUUUAAUGUGUCCCCAUCCUUUUGAUUUUUGAGCACUUCCAUAUUUCCUGGCAAGAAAGUAAGAAUGUUGCUCUGGGCUUGUCUUGUAUAGUUCCAGUGCUAGAAUCAGCCUCUUCUUCAGAGAGCACCGGUUCUUAUUACUAGAGAAUGGUUUCUAGUGGAACUUAGAAACCAAUAUCUGGGUGCUGGAUGUGCUCAUUGCUAUAGGGGUGUCACUGCUGCUAGACCCUCCCAACAAACAGAGCUAGGAAAUAUGUAUGUGUAUUAACCUAUGUACAUGUACAAUCUAUAAUGAUUUCUGUGUGUGUUUGCGUGUGUGUGUAUAUAUAUAUAUAGUUGAACGUGAGUUCUUACUGAUGUUUUCACUUGAAUCAUGUACCACAGAACAUGUAUUUA